CUUGAACCGAAGCACAAGCAGUCACCAAGAAACGUGGAAUGAAGAGAGACGAGAGGAUGUUUCGGUUGAGUAAGAACAAGGCUUCUUCGAAAUCUGCAGCUGAUACAAGAUUUGAGUUCUGGUUCUCUCAUUUUAAGGCUCUUCAGGUACCCAAGGGAUGGGAAGCUGCUUGUUUCUGUUGUUUCGGUAGAAAGUGGUAAAGCUAUUGCAAAGUCAAGCAAGGUGCUGGUGCAAAAUGGGAGUUGUCAGUGGUCAGAUUCUUUUUCAGAAUUUGUAUUGUUUCCAGGAGAUAAUUCUUCCAAGGAGAUUGAUGAAUGUCUCCUCAAGCUUAUUGUUGCCAUGGUGCUGAUACUAUUGCUGUUUGCUGUUCCUAUUGUGUAUACUCUACUUUGUAGUUAAGAUGUUUCUUUAUCAGUUAGAAGUUUGUUUGAAUUAUGA